AUAAGUCUAAAAUAUGCCAAAGACCACCCACAGUUCGUAGUUGUCAUAGCACAUUCCUCUUUGUUAUUCAAAAAUGGUGUUCCCAAACCAUUAUAUGACUGGGGUUAAAAUCUAAAAAAAUAAAUAAAUAAAUAAUAGUGAAUUUUAUCAGCAUCUUGACAUGUCACACCAGCCAGGUUAAUGGAUAUUCUUGACAAAGGUAAAGUGCUCAUCAACAUGGAUUUGAACAAAUCUGUGAACAAAUUUCAAGGGAAACAAACCGUUUAUGUGCCUAGAAGUCUUAGAUCUUUUACUUCAACUCAUGAAAAAUGGGAACAAAAAUAGAAAUGUUGCAUUUGUAUUUUGUUGCAUAUAAUUUACCUUGUUUAUAUUAAUUGCAAUAAUAAACCAUAACAUGACCGCUCUUUAUGGCUCAAUACAUGCAAAACAUAAUAAAUAAAAAUAAAACACAAAAAAAAACAAAAACCUUAAAUUACCAAGCAAUAAUGCGAUGUAGCUGAUGCACUUUCCUGACAAGUAUAAUGAGCUCUAUAAUCCUUAAAGAGAGCAAAAAUUGACUCAUCCAAGUGGCCCUUUAUUGAAGUAUAACACAGCAUAGGGCUCAUACCAGCAUUGUGUGCUCCUAAGCAUGUGUUUUUCCCUUUAAUUAUAUUUGAAUGAUAUUAUUGCAUUAAAAAUCCAUCUG